AAACACAGAUAUUAAUAUUGUUGACAUUACGAACGACAUUGCUCUAUGACUCUAUGCGUUCUUGGUAUAUAAGCAGGACGUCCUUUAUUUUUUUAAACAUUUAAUCGAAGUUGAAGCCAAAGAAAUAUGAGAGUAUUUUUGGUCCUAGUGUUGGUAUCGGCCCUGGCGGCUGCUGCUUACGCUGUUCCAGUACUGGACGACCUCACCAUUACCGCCUCUAGGUCCAUAGCCGCGGCGUUGUAACCGCGAAAACCACGUCGACAACAUAUCAGCAACAAGUUUUUAUUCACAAUUCGGAUAUACUACAAAUGGUCCUAGUUAUGGUUGCGGCCUUGGCGGCUGCUGCUUACGCCGUGUCAGUUCUAGACGGCGUCACCAAGACCGUCUCCGGCGUCGUACCCGUGAAGCUGUAACCGACCGAAAACCACGUCGACAACAUACCAGCAACUUGUUUUUAUUCACAAUUCGGAUAUACUACAAAUCGUAUAAAACAUAAAAACUAAGAAUUAGUUUUGGCAUCAAUACGGUACAGAAUAAACGUUAAAACGCAAAUGUCA